GAUGAAGAACGCAGCGAAAUGCGAUAAGUAAUGUGAAUUGCAGAAUUCAGUGAAUCAUCGAAUCUUUGAACGCACAUUGCGCCCCUUGGUAUUCCGAGGGGCAUGCCUGUUCGAGCGUCAUUAUAACCCCUCAAGCUCAGCUUGGUGUUGGGGCCUGCUGCACUGGCAGCCCUUAAAAUCAGUGGCGGCGCUAUCUGGCUCUAAGCGUAGUAAUUCUUCUCGCUAUGGAGUCCUGGUGGAUGCUUGCCAUCAACCCCCAAUUUUUCUAUGGUUGACCUCGGAUCAGGUAGGGAUACCCGCUGAACUUAAGCAUAUCAAUAAGCGGAGGA
rnacentral:misc_RNA from 1 species